UAACAAUUAAUAUAUUAACCAUUUCAUGUUCCUGCAAGAAAGAAAGUAGGUUAAUUCUAAAAUAACAUCUACCUGUCACCUAAGGAAAAAUAAUUGAACAAGGGUGAGCGUUCAACUCAGAGAGUUUAAAUAUUGAUUAUAAAUAUAAUUUACAACUAAUUCAUCCCUAAGUAUGAAAUGCACACUGAACAUAUAUAAUAAAUAAAUUAUCGAAUACUCGCACAAGAAGAUAAUUU
rnacentral:misc_RNA from 1 species